rnacentral:rRNA from 1 species
GACGAACGCUGGCGGCGGGCUUAACACAUGCAAGUCGAACGGAAAGGCCCUGCUUGUGUGGGGUGCUCGAGGGGCGAACGGGUGAGUAACACGUGAGUAACCUGCCCUAGACUUUGGGAUAACUUCAGGAAACUGGGGCUAAUACCGGAUAGGAGAUCCUGCUGCAGGGAGGGGGUGGGAAAGUUUCGGCGGUUGGGGAUGGACUCGCGGAUUAUCAGCUUGUUGGUGGGGUAGUGGCUUACCAAGGCUUUGCCGGGUAGCCGGCCUGAGAGGGUGACCGGCCACCUUGGUCCUGAGGUACGGCCCAGUGUCCUACGGGAGGCAGCAGUGGGGAACAUUGCCCAAUGGGCGGACGCCUGAUGCAGCAGCGCCGCGUUCGUGAUGCCGGCCUUCGGGUUGUAAACCGCUUUCGCCUGUGACGAAGCGGGAGUGACGGUAAUGGGUAAAGAAGCACCGGCUAACUACGUG